rnacentral:rRNA from 1 species
CAGUCGCCACGGUAAUACGUAGGUGGCAAGCGUUGUCCGGAAUUAUUGGGCGUAAAGGGCCCGCAGGCGGUUUCUUAAGUCUGAUGUGAAAGCCCCCGGCUCAACCGGGGAGGGUCAUUGGAAACUGGGAAAUUUGAGUGCAGAAGAGGAGAGUGGAAUUCCACGUGUAGCGGUGAAAUGCGUAGAGAUGUGGAGGAACACCAGUGGCGAAGGCGACUCUCUGGUCUGUAACUGACGCUGAGGAGCGAAAGCGUGGGGAGCGAACAGGAUUAGAUACCCGGGUAGUCCCUGUCUCUUAUAC